UACGGGGGGGGUAAGCGUUGUUCGGAAUUACUGGGCGUAAAGGGCUCGUAGGCGGCCAACUAAGUCGGACGUGAAAUCCCUCAGCUUAACUGGGGAACUGCGUCCGAUACUGGAUGGCUUGGAUUUGGGAGAGGGAUGCGGAAUUCCAGGUGUAGCGGUGAAAUGCGUAGAUAUCUGGAGGACCACCGGUGGCGAAGGCGGUUCUCUGGGCCUUACCUGACACUGAGGAGCGAAAGCGUGGGGAGCGAACAGG
rnacentral:rRNA from 1 species